UACGUAGGGUGCGAGCGUUGUCCGGAAUUAUUGGGCGUAAAGAGCUCGUAGGCGGCUUGUCGCGUCGGGAUGUGAAAGCCCGGGGCUUAACUCCGGGUCUGCAUUCGAUACGGGCAGGCUAGAGUUCGGUAGGGGAGAUCGGAAUUCCGGGUGUAGUGGUGAAAUGCGUAGAGAUCCGGAGGAACACCAGUGGCGAAGGCGACACGCUGGGCCGUACCUGACACUGAUGCGCGACAGCAUGGGGGAGCAAACAGG
rnacentral:rRNA from 1 species